rnacentral:rRNA from 1 species
GAUGAACGAGGGAGGCGUGCCUAAUACAUGCAAGUCGAGCGAACAGACGAGGAGCUUGCUCCUCUGACGUUAGCGGCGGACGGGUGAGUAACACGUGGAUAACCUACCUAUAAGACUGGGAUAACUUCGGGAAACCGGAGCUAAUACCGGAUAAUAUAUUGAACCGCAUGGUUCAAUAGUGAAAGACGGUUUUGCUGUCACUUAUAGAUGGAUCCGCGCCGCAUUAGCUAGUUGGUAAGGUAACGGCUUACCAAGGCAACGAUGCGUAGCCGACCUGAGAGGGUGAUCGGCCACACUGGAACUGAGACACGGUCCAGACUCCUACGGGAGGCAGCAGUAGGGAAUCUUCCGCAAUGGGCGAAAGCCUGACGGAGCAACGCCGCGUGAGUGAUGAAGGUCUUCUGAUCGUAAAACUCUGUUAUUAGGGAAGAACAAAUGUGUAAGUAACUAUGCACGUCUUGACGGUACCUAAUCAGAAAGCCACGGCUAACUACGUG